UAUUUUCCUACACUAAUGAGGAAGGACGCCUGGGAGGAGGCAGCCAGCCUCGUCAGCACAUUGAGGACAGAUGCAGAAAUAUUUCCCAUUCAGGGACAGAAACCUUGAGGUGAUAGAAGUCUCAAAUGGAUCGACACAUUUCUGCUGAACGUUUUCGGGGAUAGAGAAUUUGCUGACUAUGUACGUGAUAGAGUCUUUGGAGGAGUGAUGGAUCCUGGAGAUUGUUUCACAGUAAAACUGAGAAAUAACAAGGCAAGUUCCAAUCACAUAACGUAUGUAUGUAGUAUUCAAGAGAGCUUUUGUUUUUAUAAAAUAUUAAAUAAAACACAAAUAUUUUAAAAACAA
rnacentral:lncRNA from 1 species